rnacentral:rRNA from 1 species
UACGGGGGGGGCAAGCGUUGUUCGGAAUUACUGGGCGUAAAGGGCUCGUAGGCGGCCAACUAAGUCAGACGUGAAAUCCCUCGGCUUAACCGGGGAACUGCGUCUGAUACUGGAUGGCUUGAAUCCGGGAGAGGGAUGCGGAAUUCCUGGUGUAGCGGUGAAAUGCGCAGAUAUCAGGAGGAACACCAAUGGCGAAGGCAGCUCGCUGGGACGGUAUUGACGCUGAGACGCGAAAGCGUGGGGAGCAAACAGG